CAGCCGCCACGGUAAUACGUAGGGUGCAAGCGUUAAUCGGAAUUACUGGGCGUAAAGCGUGCGCAGGCGGUUAUAUAAGACAGAUGUGAAAUCCCCGGGCUCAACCUGGGAACUGCAUUUGUGACUGUAUAGCUAGAGUACGGCAGAGGGGGGUGGAAUUCCGCGUGUAGCAGUGAAAUGCGUAGAUAUGCGGAGGAACACCGAUGGCGAAGGCAAUCCCCUGGGCCUGUACUGACGCUCAUGCACGAAAGCGUGGGGAGCAAACAGGAUUAGAUACCCCCGUAGUCCCUGUCUCUUAUAC
rnacentral:rRNA from 1 species